UACCGUAAUUCUUCUCAUGCAGCUUCUCACGAAACUACACUGUGGAAAAUCUCUAUCAUAUUGCAGAAAUAUAUAUAUAGAUAUAUAUACAUACACACACGUUGCUUGUUUGCUUGUUGGUUUCAGCUCUAGCUCGUCCCUUACCGAAAGAAAUACCAGACCAGAGAGAGUCAAGGCACCCAUCCCAAACAACCAUCAAUUAACGCUUUCAAAUAGUUCACUUUGAGGACAUCGAUCACGUGGAAGGCCGAAAAGGAAUAUAUUCACUCAUGGAGUCUCCAAGGGAAAGUUUCUCCGGGUCAGGAGUACCACAACAUCUGAUUGGUUGUGUUAAUUGGUACAGGACGGUUCCAGCCUUAGAGCUUGAUCGUGCUUGUCGAGGACAGUCUCACCUUCAUUUGUUUACGUAGGACUUCUCUCGAUGUUUUUAGCAUUAUCUAUUUUCAGUUUUCAGUUUCGGUUGAACUUUUGGUUAGGGGUCCAUCUGUGGAUUCCCAAGUUGUAACCUUGAAGUUUUGGAGGAUUGGAGUUUCAAUUUUCAGUUACAUGGAGGGUUUUAUUAUAAUUAAAUGUUCUUUCAGUUUUAUUUCCAUCUUUAUUAUUUCAUUUUAUCAUCUGUGUUCAUUUUAAAAUACUUUAAUUGCUUGAUAUUCCCU